CUCCCUGUAGCGCGAUGGAUAGUGUGUUGGACUUCUGAUCCAAAAGUAGUGGGUUCGAAUCCCACCUGGGAUG
rnacentral:tRNA from 1 species